GCCUUCGUGGUGUAAUGGUUAGCACACUCGGCGCAUAUCUGAGAGAUCCGUGGUUCGAUUCCCGGCGAGGGCA
rnacentral:tRNA from 1 species